CUGUACUUCAAGCAAUGAAAUAUAAUGUACAAAAAUGCUAAUCAGACAGAGAUUAGAUAAUCAGCUGGCUCUGAACCCUCCGAGUAUUGGAAUGACACUCUGCCACAUACAUUUAGGGUGGGCAGGAUUCUGUCAGAGAUGCUGACCUGG